CCUACGGGCCGCAGCAGUGAGGAAUAUUGGUCAAUGGGCGCGAGCCUGAACCAGCCAAGUAGCGUGAAGGAAGACUGCCCUAUGGGUUGUAAACUUCUUUUGUACGGGGGUAAAGUGACCUACGUGUAGGUUAUUGCAAGUACCGUACGAAUAAGCAUCGGCUAACUCCGUGCCAGCAGCCGCGGUAAUACGGAGGAUGCGAGCGUUAUCCGGAUUUAUUGGGUUUAAAGGGAGCGCAGGCGGCUUAUUAAGUCAGCUGUGAAAGUUUGCGGCUCAACCGUAAAAUUGCAGUUGAAACUGAUAGGCUUGAGUGCGGUGAAGGUAGGCGGAAUUUGUGGUGUAGCGGUGAAAUGCAUAGAUAUCACGAAGAACUCCGAUUGCGAAGGCAGCUUACCGUCCCGUAACUGACGCUGAGGCUCGAAAGUGUGGGUAUCAAACAGGAUUAGAUACCCCUGUAGUC
rnacentral:rRNA from 1 species